AUCAAAUUGAAGCUAUUGAAAAUUGCUAUUCGGUGUGGAAAUUUCAAGACUUCAGCGAAAAGAAAAAUAUUUAAAAAAUACAAAAACAACUGCAAAACGGCAAAUUAUCGGUAAUUAUGUUUGUAGUUUUUCAAUAUUUCCCUUUUAGCUAAAGUCUUGAAAUUUCUACACCAAAUAGCGUUUUUCAAUAGCUUCAAUUUGAUAUAUAGCCCAACGUUCAGUGUUGAGUAUUUCCGCUCAUAACUCAGAAAAACUAAAAUACACUGGCUUCAAUUUCCCCCCCUGAGUUAGCCUUCCAGUUUAUUUAUAGUUCAAUGGUCCUAGCCAGUGCGCAUUUAAGAGGCAUUCCCCCACUGAGCUGUAUAAUAACUGGAGGACCUGCUCCUAUACUUCGUUCAGUCAACGAAGUGUCGCCAAAAACAUGGCGGAUUUUGAUGAAAAAUGACGCCAUUUCCAUGACUACUGGUCCCUAAAUUCAUGGUAAUUGCCACUGAACAAGGCUCAAAUAUGAGCCCGCCGCAGUUUUCACACCCCCCUGGUUUUUAUAAAAAUAUUUUCGACUUUUUGCAGUGAAUCCUUUAUCCUUGUUGUUUUGAUAUUUUCGACAUAUUUUUUCGACUGUUGACCAUUUGUUCAAAGAUGUGGCAGCCGUACACGUUAAUUCUCGUCCGUGGAGCGUGAAAGACAACAAACAACUAUUAAAACCUCGCGAAAUGUGGGCAAAAACGAUACUUCAAGCCAGAGCAAACAUCCGUAUUUAUCAGGCUAUAAACAGGUAU
rnacentral:lncRNA from 1 species